AUGAAGGAAGGCUGAGGGGUUAAAAUCAUUGCUGGGUGAUUUCACCACUACUGCCCCAUAUUCAUACUCUCGGUAAAUGAAUGAGGAGAGCCCCAUGUGGGAUUACAAACUUGCUGGAAAUGGAUGAGAAACCUUCUGCUCUGCUGGAGUUUAUCUUGAGUGUGCCUUAAAAUUCCAUUUCAUGGAGAACUGUGCGUGGUUGAAUUUUGAUUGAUUACUCAAUUAACUGAUGUAUUGGUAGAGUGAUUAAGAAAGAAGACUUUGGGAUCAGACCAACCUGGUUUUGAAUUCAAGCUCAGCAACUUACUAGGUAAGGAGGAGAAAAGAAAGAAGGAAAAAUUGGAAAGAUAAAUGGGGUCUUUCCAGUGAAGGCUCAAUUUUCCUACAUAAUUAAGAGUUUGGAAUUCGGGCAAUAUCAAGAACCACAUCUGUCCUGAAAUCAAUUAUCUCUGUUUGGAAUAUGGAUAUGAGAGAUCACUUUGCUGUGCUGUAAAUGAUCGAUUAAAAUACAUAUUUCUUUUGUCUCCUGGUACUUUCUUAUCCCAGUGCUGUGCUGAGCCAUAUUGGAGCCUAAGGCAAAAGGGACCAUCAGUAACACUAAUCCUG
rnacentral:lncRNA from 1 species